rnacentral:lncRNA from 7 species
GAGCCGCGGAGGCCGCCGCGCCGCGCGCAUCUGAUGCCAUGGAUCUGCCCCGGCAAGACCUUCCCCCACUAUGCUUUUGAAUAACGUUGCUUUUGUAUGGCGAUGUUUGCCUUCAUCCCCACUUCUGCACAUCCCUCAUCUGCUGCUGUUGUAUUCCCAAGCUUGGAGGCUUGCGAGUCAGUGAGAAGAGAGAACAAGAGACACCUGCAGAGAAUGAUUCAUUCUGUGCCUGUUCGACACCGCUCUGGAUGGAACAAGUCUCCUUGCUGGGUGUUGUCUCUCCCCAUCAAUUCUCAGCAGAAGCUAGACAACCAGUUCUGACCAGAAGCCUGACUUACGGGUGCCACGUGAGAUGAAUUGUACCACAGAUGACUAAUUUUUCUCAUUCAUCAUACCUGCUUUUGGCCUAUAGAAGUUGGGUAUGUAACAAAGUUAGUCACUUUAGUUCUGUCUCUGUACAAUGGUAAUUCCCUCCCUUGGGAGUCUGGAGACUGAUAGCUGAGGUGAAUUGUCCUUGGAUGAUGUUUAUCUUUGUCUGAGCCUUGUAAGCCCCUCAUCAGCAAGCGUGCUCCUCCUUUGCACUUGCUGGGUGUCUGAAAACUAAAUGUGGGACUG